rnacentral:rRNA from 1 species
CCUACGGGUUGUAACUGCUUUUAUUUGGGAAGAAACCCCCCGACGUGUCGGGGGCUGACGGUACCAAAGGAAUAAGGACCGGCUAACUCCGUGCCAGCAGCCGCGGUAAUACGGAGGGUCCAAGCGUUAUCCGGAAUCAUUGGGUUUAAAGGGUUCGCAGGCGGUUUGUUAAGUCAGUGGUGAAACCCUACAGCUCAACUGUAGAACUGCCAUUGAUACUGACGAACUUGAAUAUAGUUGAAGUAGGCGGAAUGUGUAGUGUAGCGGUGAAAUGCUUAGAUAUUACACAGAACACCGAUAGCGAAGGCAGCUUACUAACUGUUAUUGACGCUCAUGAACGAAAGCGUGGGGAGCGAACAGGAUUAGAUACCUGGUAGUCCACGCCGUAAACGAUGAUUACUCGAUAUGGCGAUAU